rnacentral:rRNA from 1 species
CGCUCGACAUCAGAGUUUGAUCCUGGCUCAGGAUGAACGCUGGCGGCGUGCCUAACACAUGCAAGUCGAACGGUUAAGCCACCUUCGGGUGGGGCAUACAGUGGCGAACGGGUGAGUAACACGUGACCAACCUGCCCCCCUGCUCCGGGACAACCUCGGGAAACCGAGGCUAAUACCGGAUGCUCCGGCCCCUCCGCAUGGAGGGGCCGGGAAAGCCUGGCGCGGCAAGGGAUGGGGUCGCGGCCCAUCAGGUAGACGGCGGGGUAGCGGCCCACCGUGCUUUCGACGGGUAGCCGGGUUGAGAGACCGACCGGCCACAUUGGGACUGAGAUACGGCCCAG